rnacentral:rRNA from 1 species
CAACCUGGUUGAUCCUGCCAGUAUUGAUAUGCUUAUUUCGAAGAUUAAGCCAUGUAAAUGUAAGUGCAUCAUUUCCUUUGAUAAACUGUGCAAGGCUCAAUAAACGAUUUAUAAACACCACGUCUUGCUUAAUCCUAUAAGGAUAACGCAGUCAAAAGCAUCGAUAAUACUUGCUCUCUUAAUCAUCAAAAUUGUAUAUGAUGAGAAUAAUAAACACCUAAUGAAUUAGGUUUAUUUUCUAAAUUUAUUUAGAAUUAACACGUGGUAGUUUAGUCGAUGAUUUUAUCAUCUAUCAGUUUUAUAAGUGUUUAAUUUACACUCAUGACAACCACAGAUACGGAUAAUCAGUGUUUGAUUCCGGAGAAAGAGCCUUAAAAAUGGCUACUAGUACCAAGGUUUGCAACAGGCGCGAAAAUUAUCCAAUGCGAAUAUAUUUCGCGAGAUAGUGAAAAGAAAUAAGCAUCCUAUACUAUUUCAGUUUAGGAGUACCGGUUAGUUGAUAAUCAGUUUACAAUGGUAACAAAUUAGAUAUUUGUUAGAGAAACAAUUAGAGGUCAAGUCAGGUGCCAGCAUCCGCGGUAAUACCUGCUCUAAUAGUCUAUAAUAAAAUUGUUGUGGUUAAAACGCUCGUAGUCAAUUCAAGGGAGUAAGUUCUAAAGUCAAUUAGGUUUAUCUAGACCAAAAACUAUUUUAAUAGUUCAAGGUUUAGUCCUUUCAGGAGUCGUUAUUGAUAGUAACUUUAAUUUUAGCAUUAUCUUUUUUAAACCUUUUUAUUUAACCAAAAUAAUUAGGCUUUAUUAGAGUACAUAUGCGGCUUUAGUCUUAAAUCCCGACCAAACAAUCCUGUGACUAAAUUAACGCGAUUAAAGCAGGAUUUGUUAAUGACAGAUUCUUUGAAUCUGUUAUUUUGUGAUGUAACAUACAUCAGCAUAGCAUCUAUUUUCAAGAUAGUUUUCUAUUUUGAAUAGAUAAUAGGACCAGAUUCAAGUUCUCAGUACUUGCUAAUCAGGGGUGAAAUCCGUAUAGUUAGCAAAGACUACCAAAGGCGAAAGCAGAGAACCAGAACUGGUCUAUUGAUCAGGAGCUAGAGUUAAGGGAACAAAGAUGAUUAGAUACCGUCGUAGUCUUAACUAUAAACUAUACUAAUUAGAGCUUGUACAAAGCCGUGUUAUUAGAUUUAUACAUGAACCCCGAGAAAUCUCAAAUUUUUGAGUUCCAGGGGAAGUAUAUUCGCAAGAAUGAAACUUAAAGGAAUUGACGGAAAUUCACCACCAGGAGUGGAGUUUGCGGCUUAAUUCGACUCAACGCGUGAAAACUUACCAAAUCCAAAUUAUGUAAAGAUUGACAGGUUAAUGACUUUUCUUGAUUCAUAAAAGAGUGGUGCAUGGUCGUUCUCAGUUCGUGGAUUAAUCUGUCUACUUAAUUGUGUUAACGAGCGAGACCUUAAUUAACUAAUUAGUAUCAUGUAAUUUUAACUUGUUUGAAAUCAAAAUCGAAAAUAACCAUUAAUAAUGGUUUUUUCUUCUUAGUAAAACUUAGCUCGAUUUAACAACAGAGUCAGGAAGUAAGGCUAUAACAGAUCUGUUAUGCCCUCAGAUGUUUUGGGCAGCACGCGUACUACAUUGAUAGUUUCAGUAAGUUUAAGCGUUAAGAGUCAUUUUAACACUCCGGGUUUUAAAUAAUGAGGUAAACUACAAUCACUUAACAAAUCAGGAAUUAAGGAUUGUAAAUUCCUUAUGAACAAGGAAUUCCUAGUAAUAGUAAAUCAUCAUUUUCCAAUGAUUACGUCCCUGAAUUUUGUACACACCGCCCGUCGCUCCUACCAAUUGAAUAAAAAGAUAAAAUUGAUGGAAAAUGUUAAAGAUUUAAAAUUAAUUAAAUCUUUGUAUUUGUAGGAAGGAGAAGUCGUAACAAGGUUUUCGUAGGUGAACCUGCAGAAGGAUCAAGCUU